GCCAGCGUGGCUCAGUGGUUACAGUGUUGGCUUGUGCACCCAAUGGUCACAGGUUCACUUCCUGGUCAAGGGCA
rfam:Myotis brandtii contig294829, whole genome shotgun sequence.